rnacentral:rRNA from 1 species
AUUGAACGCUGGCGGCAGGCCUAACACAUGCAAGUCGAGCGAGCGGCGGACGGGUGAGUAAUGUAUGGGAAACUGCCCGAUGGAGGGGGAUAACUACUGGAAACGGUAGCUAAUACCGCAUACUAUCGGAUGUACCCAUAUGGGAUUAGCUGGUCGGUGGGGUAAUGGCUCACCUAGGCGACGAUCCCUAGCUGGUCUGAGAGGAUGAUCAGCCACACUGGAACUGAGACACGGUCCAGACUCCUACGGGAGGCAGCAGUGGGGAAUAUUGCACAAUGGGCGCAAGCCUGAUGCAGCCAGGCCGCGUGUAUGAAGAAGGCCUUCGGGUUGUAAAGCACUUUCAGCGGGGAGGCGUUACCGGCAGAAGAAGCACCGGCUAACUCCGUGCCAGCAGCCGCGGUAAUUC